rnacentral:rRNA from 1 species
CCUCCCUAGAGCGGCGGACUGGUGAGUAACGCGUGGGUAAUCUAUCUUAGGCAUGGGGAUAGUCACUAGAAAUAGUGGGUAAUACCGAAUAAGUUCCAUAAGGGGAGGACUUAUGGAAGAAAGGUGCUACGGCACUGGCCUUAGGUGAGCUCGCGUCCCAUUAGCUAGUUGGUGAGGUAAAGGCCCACCAAGGCGAUGAUGGGUAGCCGGCCUGAGAGGGUGUACGGCCACACUGGGACUGAGAUACGGCCCAGACUCCUACGGGAGGCAGCAGCUAAGAAUAUUCCGCAAUGGACGGAAGUCUGACGGAGCGACGCCGCGUGGAUGAAGAAGGCCGAAAGGUUGUAAAGUUCUUUUGCUAGGGGAGAAUAAGUGUGGGAGGGAAUGCCUGCACGAUGACAAGGACUAGCGAAUAAGUCCCGGCCAACUACGUGCCAGCAGCCGCGGUAACACGUAGGGGGCGAGCGUUGUUCGGAAUUACUGGGCGUAAAGGGCAUGUAGGCGGCUUGGUAGGCCUGGCGUGAAAGUCUGCAGCUUAACUGUAGGGAUGCGUUGGGAACUGCUUAGCUUGAGUUACGGAGAGGGAGCUGGAAUUCCUGGUGUAGGGGUGAAAUCUGUAGAUAUCAGGAAGAACACCGAUGGCGAAGGCAAGCUUCUGGCCGACAACUGACGCUGAGGUGCGAAAGUGUGGGGAUCAAACAGGAUUAGAUACCCUGGUAGUCCACACAGUAAACGAUGUGCACGAGGUGCUGGGGCGGUAGUUUCAGUGCCGGA